GUGAAGAACGUAGCGAAAUGCGAUAAGUAGUGUGAAUUGCAGAAUUCAGUGAAUCAUCGAAUCUUUGAACGCACAUUGCGGCCAUAGGUAUUCCUUUGGCCAUGCCUGUUCGAGCGUCAUUUACACCCUCAAGCCUAGCUUGGUGUUGGGCGCCUGUCCCGCCGUUUUCGCGCGCGGACUCGCCUCAAAGUCAUUGGCGGCGGUCGUGCCGGCCCCCUCGCGCAGCACAUUUGCGCUUCUCGGAGGCCCGGCGGAUCCGCGCUCCAGCAAGACCUUUCACGACUUGACCUCGGAUCAGGUAGGGAUACCCGCUGAACUUAAGCAUAUCAAUAAGCGGAGGA
rnacentral:misc_RNA from 1 species